GCCAAGUCCGGGAGGCAGGCAAUGGGGUUGACAUCGCACACUCCAGCAUCCUGAUCGUCCCGAAAGUAAAUAGCAUCAGGGGAAAAGGCAGAGGGGUCCUCGUCAAAGAAGUUGUAGGGCCUGAGGAAGAAACCAACGCCAUUUCCUGAAGUCACUGUGUUGGGGACGUCCUCUGCGUGGGGGAUAUGCAGAAAGCUCGCUGUGACCCAGGCAACCAGGUCCUGGAAAAAAGAGGAGAGGAGCUCCAUGGGCAACUGACCUCCCCUGAGAGCAGCUCACUGUCAAUGAAGUUGGCAAAGACCACAGUUGGUGUCCAAGGAUCAUUCUGGUUGUAGAUGCUGCUGCUCUGUGGUUCUUCCUCUUUCCGGCGAGUCACUGCCAGCUGGUACCUAACCAUGAGGUGGGGGCUCCAGGUUUAUGCAGCUGCCCACAACCUCCCACCUUGCAUUACCAUUGGACUCCAGAGCAGAGCAUGCUGCAAGCGGCAAAGAUCAAAGUGUAAGCAGAAAAAGAAAACCUAAACCAAUUUAAUUCUGACUAGCUUGAAAAUGUGAGGCAAGAUGUUUGACGAUCUAAUGUUUCAUGAACUAUCUGUGCCCAAUCCUUCAUGAAGUGGACAAUAUAAUCACUUCUCUCGCUC